GCAAGUCGAGGGGUAACAUUGUGCUUGCACAGAUGACGACCGGCGCACGGGUGCGUAACGCGUAUAGAACCUACCUUUUACAGAGGGAUAGCCUUUAGAAAUGAAGAUUAAUACCUCAUAGUAUUGAGACUUGGCAUCAAGUUGUAAUUAAAGAGUUAUCGGUAAAAGAGGGCGAUGCGUCCGAUUAGUUAGGUGGUAAGGUAACGGCUUACCAAGACAUCGAUAGGUAGGGGUCCUGAGAGGGAGAUC
rnacentral:rRNA from 1 species